UCUAUUAAAUCGUUUUUUUUCGCCUGUAAAUUUAUGAAAAAUAAAAUUAAUACAUUAUUUUGCAUGAAUGAAUUAUUUGUGAUAAAACUAUUAACGUUUUCUCUUCUUCUCUUUCUUCUUCUACGAGUAUUAGCCUUCAAUGUUUGUAGCGAUUCACGUUUAAGUCUUCAAUUGGCUCCAAACGGUGUCCCCGGAGCGAUCGUCUGAGUGUGCUGAAUACCCAGAAGUCACCUGACGCCAAAAUCAUGCGAAUGCAGUGCUUGCGGUGCGAUAUUGCUUGAAAUUUUGGCGAAAACUCACGAGGAAUCAAUGUAAUAUGAGACGUUGCAUUCUCGUAGUGCAAAAACCAAGAGCUGUCCGUGCAUAAUUCCGGUCGGUCGGUCGUAAGGAAUUCGGAGUACACCCACCUCGAUAAUCAAAGUUAACCGUCAACAAAACCUUGAAUUUUGGCCUUCUUUGGCUUGGUUUUUUCGGCGCGGCUCAGCUUUGCCACAAUAUUUGGCCGAUUGACCUUCUGUUUUCAGGUCGUAAGCAUAGAUCCAAGACUCAUUGCCAGUAACAGUACGUUCCAUGGCAUCCUGGCAGUCGGAAGGCAUUGUUUCACCAACGUUAACGCGACGCUGUUUUUCGAAAAAAUUGACCUCCGUCAACACAGUUUUGCUGGAACGGCUGGACCGAACUCACCUAACUCUGGAAAUUUGUUUCAAACUAAGGUACGAACCGAUAAGAAAGGAUGGGGCAUUAAAGGGAGCGAAGAGCGAACUAAGGAGAGCAUCUCUUGAAAAUUUAGAUUUAAAUAUUUAUAGCAUCUAAACCCAUCAAAACUGGACUGCCUAGUUGUCCAAAAUUAUUAUCAAACAAAAAGUUGGAUACUAUGAUCAAAAACUAACCGUUCAUGGACAAAAUGUUCCAAUUUAAAAGUUUUAGACUAGGAAUAAAUAGAGAGACGCUCGAAAAUCCUUCCACAACCCAUUUCAUCACCCGCAAUUAAGAGAAAAAAGCAUUUUGACGAUUUUCUCCUCAAAAAACGACGAUUGGAACACAUUUUUAUUUUUCUAAAUUUCUGUGUGAAUUCAAAUUAAAAAUUUCGUUAAU